UCCCUGGAGAUGGUGAAACUGCAGCUGGACACAGCCACGAGCAAGUGGAUCCGGCUGGACCCGCCUUUGAACCAGGGUUUGGACCAGUGGCCUGCAGAGACCUUUUCUAACUAAAUUCCUCCUGCUGGGUGAUUCCUGUCUCCUGCAGGGCCACGUUGCUCCCCUUUCUCCCCCCUUCCCCGCUCUGCUGGCCCUCAGCAAUGACACAGGGAACACAAAUCACGCUGUGACGGAGCGAGAGGAGCCGGGAAUGAGCGACCAUCCGCCAGAAAUGAGAAAAUGGAAAAUAGAAAAAGAAGACAAAAAUGCCCCAAUUCUUUCAAAAUAGCUCCUGGAGGAUUUCCACCCUCAAGUAGAGCUUUUGUGCCUCAGUAAAAACCACAAAGGGUGGCUGAUCCAGAUGUGCAGCUCGAGACUAAAGGGAAUGUUCUUCCUCCCUGGGAAUAAACACAGGGAUUUGGGGGGUUUAAUGCAGUGAAGGGAAUGUGUUUUGGGCAUUUUGGCUCAGCACAGCUUGGCAUUACAGGUAUCCACAGAGGCAAUUCAGAAGGAUGCUCCAGUUUAGACUUGCCCCCCCGUGGAAUUACCCACCAGGUGCAGCUGGUCCAUGUUUGCAGAGGCCUGACCACAGGAUCCCAGAAUGGUUUGGGUUGGAAGGGACCUCGAAGACCAUCUUGUUUUUCAGGCAGGACCUGAGAGUGAGAGCACUUUGGGGUUUUGUUUUUUUGGAGGUUGGGGCAGGAGGGAUGCUCAGUUGAGGCUUUAACAGUUCUGGAAAGAAACCAAACCCCUUUAGUCCUCAGAGGUGCAGUGGACUGAGAUCCCCUACAAUUCUCCCCGUGGAUUGGCACCUUCAGCACCUGGACCUGAUGGGAACAUCCCAGGAGAUGCUGGAGGCGCUGCUUAAAGAAGGUGCCUCUGCUUUGAACUCCUUCCUCAAUUAAAUCAUGGAAUACCCUGAGUUGGAAGGGACCCACGAGGAUCACUGAGUCAUGAAGCAUCAACAUUCCAGACUUGGGGGUGAUGGGGUCCUGUUGUGUAGGAAACUGCCUCCAAUCCCUUCAGCUGUGUCUGAGGUGAUCUCUUUCCCUUCCUGACCUCCAGAGAUUAUUCUGGAAAAACAAUUCUGAAGAUGCCAUGGCAGGAGGAAUAAAAAUAGCCCAGCAGAUGAGAUGAGCCGGUCUCCCUGGCAGUACAAAUACUUCCAAGCGCUUCUGGUGCAGGGAAAAUGAAGCCUGUAGCAGGAAACACAGGGAAUCCCUAUACAAAAGAAGGAAAUUUGGGGAGAAUGACUCAUCUGGGAGAGGAAACUAGGUGCUGGGGCUGGCUGUUAGCAAGGCAAGGGUCCCCCAGAGCAUCAGGCUGUAAGUUGAGCAGGGUGACAUCCCAGUACAGGUGACAUCCCAGCACAGGUGACAUUCCUGGCUGAGCAGGGCUGCUGGGAUCUGUCUCCCAGGGGGUUCUCCAGGUGCUCCAGCUGAGGAAUGGAGUGGGAUGAAAAUGGAGAAUGCCUUCAAAUGCCAGCGUGGGAACUGCCUGCACCUGCACGGCAUCUCGAGGUGAUUUAUGAGGGAAGCCCAGUUUAAGCCUCCAGUGCUGGAAUCUGUUGUUCCCGGGAGGAGUGAUGACAGAAACAGAACUUGCUGGCUCCUGCAGCCUCCUGUGGGCCCACAGUAAGCAAAUUCCCUUCUGAUCCAUUUUUCCCUUCCCAGCCAUCCCCCCUGUCGUGUUAGCAGAGCUGCCUUCCUUUCCCAGGGCUCUCCACC